UACGUAGGGGGCAAGCGUUGUCCGGAAUUAUUGGGCGUAAAGAGCGUGUAGGCGGUCCGGUAAGUCAGCUGUGAAAGUCAAGGGCUCAACCCUUGAAAGCCGGUUGAUACUGUCGGGCUAGAGUCCGGAAGAGGCGAGUGGAAUUCCCGGUGUAGCGGUGAAAUGCGUAGAUAUCGGAAGGAACAUCAGUGGCGAAAGCGACUUCCUGGACCAGUACCGACGUUCAGGCACGAAAGCGUGGGGAGCAAACAGG
rnacentral:rRNA from 1 species